rfam:Gossypium raimondii chromosome 6, whole genome shotgun sequence.
GGGUGCAAUCAUACCAGCACUAAUACACCGUAUCCCAUCUGAACUCCGUAGUUAUGCUUGCUUGGGUGAGAGUAGUACUAGGUUGGGUGAACUCCUGGGAAGUCCUCGUGUUGCAGCCC